AUAAAAUAUAACAAAAAUAUAAUUAAUUAUUUAUGGAAUCUUACAAAUCAGCUUUAUGCAACUAAUUACUGGAAAUGAUCUGAUGAGCUGUAUGUAUAACAAAAUACUAAUUUAUACAAAAACAAUUCUGCUACUUUCGAUGUUACUGUUGAGAUAAAAACUAGAUAUAGUGUAAAGUACGUGGGCGGAAUUAUCAAAUGUUUGAAACGAAUUACAACAGAUUCUCAUUUUCUUGAACCACAUUUAUUGGAAUGAAAUGUUGGUUAAUAGUUAAAUCCCCUUGUCUGAAUAUAAUUUAUUAUUAUUUGGAUGAAAAAUUGCAGAUAGAGAAAAUUAUUGUAGCAACUAACUGUUUAUGCGGCUAGAAUUCAUUAAUUUCCCUCGCUAUCUGCGAUUUGUCCACGGAAAUAAAGUUCUAGUGUAAUUCGGACUUUAUUCGGAUUUCAUUAUGUACGCGUAAUGAUUUAAAUGAUUUCAAAUGGUACAUUAGUGCCUGCUUCAGGAGUGGAGACUUUUUAAACGUUUCAAAGUUACCUUCAUCUUCUUUGAUAUAACUAUAUGCUGUUUUAUGAAUUAAUUAAAAUAAUGUUGAAUUCUAUAGAAGGAAGUAAGCUUUUUCAAAACAAGUUCAAAAGAAAUUUAGAACUAGUUACUGUAAUCAUAUACUCUUUCCAUUCCAUUAAUAGAAAUAUAUAAAUUAUACAGUUCAUUUUAAAACAUCAUAUUCUCAAAUUGAAAAAAGAACAGUUAAAUUGCAUGUAACUUUUAAACUUUUUUAUAGUUUCAUUUGCUAUGGCCUACAAGGAAAUGGAACUAUUUGUCCACAACUGCAAACAUUCAUAAUUUGUAAAAUACUUCAAAUUAAUCUAAUUAGUCAAUUCAAUGGAAGAAGAUCGAUUAGUACUGGAAUUAACUGCUGUUUUGAUUGAAUAACAUAGAAACGGAAAAACAACAGUGGAAGCUGUAGAAUAAUUGAAAACGAAGUAAUAUUAUAUCAAGGACAGCAUAGAAGAUGCUUGAACGCUUUUCGUCAUUACUUUUUGCUAAUCCGUGGUUACCGUUUCGACAAUUGUUACAUAUUUGCCACAAACGCAAUGAGAAUUCGUGGGGACCGAGUGUAAAUAGUAAUAGUGAAACUUUCGUCUCAUUUAUUAUCAAAACUAUUAUCAGUUCACAAGACAAUGCAAGCAAUUUUUAAUAGAAUCAUCUUUAAUUAAGAACAGACUUCACUUACUAGUAAUAAAACUUCUUCUGACACAAAACUAUCUAAAAUUGUUAGAAAAAUCAAGAUCAAAAUAUGCCCCUAAUUGUGGUACCAUUUCUGGCUUCCUUUGACACAAAACAGUCCAAUGCUGCACGAAACACUAUCAAAAUUAUAUCAGAUUUAGCGGAAAAAAUGAAUACAUUCUAUUAAGAAAAGAAAACUACAAAUUACAUAAGAAUGCAAUGGCUGAAAAUCAGUAACAUUUUCACCAUGAUCUUAAUACACAAAACAUCUUUUACCUAAUCUAAACCUAUUCCAAAAAGAUGGAAAGUAAAUAAAUGAGAAGUCAAGAGAAAGUAUAAUGGCAAGAGAAAGGUCCAAACAGAGAGAUCCUCCACCGGUGCACCAAAAAUUCACAAGAAGACUGAAUCACUCACCAUGUC
rnacentral:lncRNA from 1 species